UACGGAGGAUCCAAGCGUUAUCCGGAAUCAUUGGGUUUAAAGGGUCCGUAGGCGGGCAGCUAAGUCAGUGGUGAAAGUCUGCAGCUCAACUGUAGAAUUGCCAUUGAUACUGGUUGUCUUGAAUUAUUAUGAAGUGGUUAGAAUAAGUAGUGUAGCGGUGAAAUGCAUAGAUAUUACAUAGAAUACCGAUUGCGAAGGCAGAUCACUAAUAAUUCACUGACGCUGAGGGACGAAAGCGUAGGUAGCGAACAGG
rnacentral:misc_RNA from 1 species